rnacentral:rRNA from 1 species
GUCGAACGAAGCGCUUUUACAGAUUUCUUCGGAAUGAAGUUUUAGUGACUGAGUGGCGGACCGGUGAGUAACGCGUGGGUAACCUGCCUCACACAGGGGGAUAACAGUUGGAAACGGCUGCUAAUACCGCAUAAGCGCACAGUACCGCAUGGUACAGUGUGAAAAACUCCGGUGGUGUGAGAUGGACCCGCGUCUGAUUAGCUAGUUGGCAGGGCAACGGCCUACCAAGGCGACGAUCAGUAGCCGACCUGAGAGGGUGACCGGCCACAUUGGGACUGAGACACCGGCCCAAACUCCUACGGGAGGCAGCAGUGGGGGAAUAUUUGCACCAUGGGGGAAACCCCUGAUGCAGCGACGCCGCGUGAGCGAAGAAGUAUUUCGGUAUGUAAAGCUCUAUCAGCAGGGAAGAAGAAAUGACGGUACCUGACUAAGAAGCACCGGCUAAAUACGUGCCAGCAGCCGCGGUAAUACGUAUGGUGCAAGCGUUAUCCGGAUUUACUGGGUGUAAAGGGAGCGCAGGCGGAAGGCUAAGUCUGAUGUGAAAGCCCGGGGCUCAACCCCGGUACUGCAUUGGAAACUGGUCAUCUAGAGUGUCGGAGGGGUAAGUGGAAUUCCUAGUGUAGCGGUGAAAUGCGUAGAUAUUAGGAGGAACACCAGUGGCGAAGGC